AGUGAACGCUGGCGGUAGGCCUAACACAUGCAAGUCGAACGGCAGCACAGUAAGAGCUUGCUCUUACGGGUGGCGAGUGGCGGACGGGUGAGGAAUACAUCGGAAUCUACUUUUUCGUGGGGGAUAACGUAGGGAAACUUACGCUAAUACCGCAUACGACCUACGGGUGAAAGCAGGGGAUCUUCGGACCUUGCGCGAUUGAAUGAGCCGAUGUCGGAUUAGCUAGUUGGCGGGGUAAAGGCCCACCACGGCGACGAUCCGUAGCUGGUCUGAGAGGAUGAUCAGCCACACUGGAACUGAGACACGGUCCAGACUCCUACGGGAGGCAGCAGUGGGGAAUAUUGGACAAUGGGCGCAAGCCUGAUCCAGCCAUACCGCGUGGGUGAAGAAGGCCUUCGGGUUGUAAAGCCCUUUUGUUGGGAAAGAAAAGCAGCAGGUUAAUACCCCGCUGUUCUGACGGUACCCAAAGAAUAAGCACCGGCUAACUUCGU
rnacentral:rRNA from 1 species